rnacentral:rRNA from 1 species
CCUACGGGAGGCAGCAGUGAGGAAUAUUGGUCAAUGGACGAGAGUCUGAACCAGCCAAGCAGCGUGAAGGAUGACUGCCCUAUGGGUUGUAAACUUCUUUUAUAUGGGAACAAAACGUUCCACGAGUGGGCUUUUGUAUGGACCAUAUGAAUAAGGAUAGGCUAACUCCGUGCCAGCAGCCGCGGUACGACGGAGGGUCCGAGCGUUAAACGGAUUUAUAGGGUUGAAAGGGAGCGUAGGUGGUGUGUUAAGUCAGUUGUGAAAGUUCGCGGCUCAACCUGAGAAUUGCAGUUGAAACUGGCAGUCUAGAGUACAGUAGAGGUGGGCGGAAUUCGUGGUGUAGCGGUGAAAUGCUUAGAUAUGUCGAAGAACUCCGAUGGCGAAGGCAGUCCCCUGGAAUUCAACUGACGCUGAGGCUCGAAAGUGUGGGUAUCAAACAGGAUUAGAUACCCGUGUAGUC